GCCCCCGUAGCUCAGUAGGAUAGAGCACCGGCCUCCGGAGCCGGCGGCCUGCGUUCGAGUCGCAGCGGGGGUA
rnacentral:tRNA from 1 species